CUUAAAACUCAUAUAAAUAAUUCUGCAUGAUGUUGCAGAUCUGAGGGGAAUCAGGAUUGCUAAAGUUACUAUAAUGAUAGAAAUGUAUCAACUUCUGAUCCUACUGAGUUGCUUGUGCUAUCCUAAUAUAGAA
ensembl:snoRNA SNORA66 Small nucleolar RNA SNORA66